rnacentral:rRNA from 1 species
CAGCAGCCACGGUAAUACGUAGGGUGCAAGCGUUAAUCGGAAUUACUGGGCGUAAAGCGUGCGCAGGCGGUUUGUUAAGACAGAUGUGAAAUCCCCGGGCUCAACCUGGGAACUGCAUUUGUGACUGGCAAGCUAGAGUAUGGCAGAGGGGGGUGGAAUUCCGCGUGUAGCAGUGAAAUGCGUAGAUAUGCGGAGGAACACCGAUGGCGAAGGCAGCCCCCUGGGCCAAUACUGACGCUCAUGCACGAAAGCGUGGGGAGCAAACAGGAUUAGAUACCCGCGUAGUCCCUGUCUCUUAUAC